rfam:Myotis lucifugus cont2.39417, whole genome shotgun sequence.
GGUGGUUCUUGGGUGACGCACACUGGAAUCGGGCUCCCUCUUCUCUGGUUCCGGGUACAUCACCCAAGAACCUCA